rnacentral:rRNA from 1 species
CUCCUACGGGAGGCAGCAGUAGGGAAUCUUCCACAAUGGACGCAAGUCUGAUGGAGCAAUGCCGCGUGAGUGAAGAAGGAUUUCGGUUCGUAAAACUCUGUUGCGAGGGAAGAACAAGUACGAAGUAACUACUCGUACCUUGACGGUACCUCGUUAGAAAGCCACGGCUAACUACGUGCCAGCAGCCGCGGUAAUAC